ensembl:snRNA U2 U2 spliceosomal RNA
AUCUCUUCUUGGUCUUUUAGCUAAGAUCAAAUGUGGUAUCUGUUCUUAACAGCUUAAAAUCUGAUAUGUCCUCUAUUCAAGGACAAUAUAUUAAAUGUAUUUUUGAGCAGGGAGAUGGAAUAUAAGCUUGCUCCAUCCAUCCCAUACAUCUACCUGGUAUUGCAGUACCUCCUGGUAUUGCAGUACCACCA